UAAGGAAUAUUGGUCAAUGGACGCAAGUCUGAACCAGCCAUGCCGCGUGAAGGAUGAAGGUCCUCUGGAUUGUAAACUUCUUUUAUGUGGGAAGAAAUGCAUUCUUUAUAGAGUGUUUGACGGUACCAUAGGAAUAAGCACCGGCUAACUCCGUGCCAGCAGCCGCGGUAAUACGGAGGGUGCGAGCGUUAUCCGGAUUCACUGGGUUUAAAGGGUGCGUAGGUGGGUUUGUAAGUCAGUGGUGAAAUCUCCGUGCUUAACAUGGAAACUGCCAUUGAUACUAUAGAUCUUGAAUUUUCCGGAGGUUAGCGGAAUAUGUCAUGUAGCGGUGAAAUGCUUAGAUAUGACAUAGAACACCGAUUGCGAAGGCAGCUAACUACAGGGAUAUUGACACUGAGGCACGAAAGCGUGGGGA
rnacentral:rRNA from 1 species